rnacentral:misc_RNA from 1 species
UUGCAACGCAUCAAGCGGAGUUUUGUUCGAACUGAACCUAAAUAUUUUCCGGUUGGCGACUCUCAAAAAAAGGCCCGGCGACCUUUCGGAAGCCGGGCCAGUUUAAGACGCAAGUCAGGGAGACCAACGCCGUAGUGCGAUCAAUGCAGGAUUUCGAAAAGUCCAGCCGCGCCCAUGCCGCCACCGAUACACAUGGUCACCACGCCGUACUUGGCCUUGCGGCGGCG